rnacentral:rRNA from 1 species
UACGUAGGAGACGAACGUUAUCCGGAGUUACUGGGCGUAAAGGGCGCGUAGGCGGUUUGUUAAGUCUGGCGUGAAAGCUCUCGGCUAAACCGGGAGAGGUCGUUGGAUACUGGCGAACUCGAGGAUGGUAGAGGCGUGUGGAAUUCCGGGUGUAGUGGUGAAAUGCGUAGAGAUCCGGAGGAACACCAGUGGCGAAGGCGACACGCUGGGCCAUACCUGACGCUAAAGCGCGAAAGCAUGGGGAGCAAACGGG